rnacentral:rRNA from 1 species
GACGAACGCUGGCGGCGUGCCUAAUACAUGCAUGUCGAGCGCAGGAAACUGACGGAACUCUUCGGAGGGAAGGCAGUGGAAUGAGCGGCGGACGGGUGAGUAACACGUAAGGAACCUGCAUCAAGGAUUGGGAUAACUCCGAGAAAGCGGAGCUAAUACCGGAUAGUUCAUCGGAGCGCAGGGUCCGCUGAUGAAAGGCGCUUCGGCGUCACCUAUAGAUGGCCUUGCGGUGCAUUAGCUAGUUGGUGGGGUAACGGCCCACCAAGGCGACGAUGCAUAGCCGACCUGAGAGGGUGAUCGGCCACACUGGGACUGAGACACGGCCCAGACUCCUACGGGAGGCAGCAGUAGGGAAUCUUCCACAAUGGACGAAAGUCUGAUGGAGCAACGCCGCGUGAGUGGUGAAGGUUUUCGGAUCGUAAAACUCUGUUGUAAGGGAAGAACACGUACGAGAGGAAAUGCUCGUACCUUGACGGUACCUUACGAGAAAGCCACGGCUAACUACGUGCCAGCAGCCGCGGUAAGAC